GGCUCAGGAUGAACGCUAGCUACAGGCUUAACACAUGCAAGUCGAGGGGCAGCAUGAACUUAGCUUGCUAAGUUUGAUGGCGACCGGCGCACGGGUGAGUAACACGUAUCCAACCUUCCGUUUACUCAGGGAUAGCCUUUCGAAAGAAAGAUUAAUACCUGAUAGUAUGGUGAGAUUGCAUGAUAGCACCAUUAAAGAUUUAUUGGUAAACGAUGGGGAUGCGUUCCAUUAGGUAGUAGGCGGGGUAACGGCCCACCUAGUCUUCGAUGGAUAGGGGUUCUGAGAGGAAGGUCCCCCACAUUGGAACUGAGACACGGUCCAAACUCCUACGGGAGGCAGCAGUGGGGAAUAUUGGUCAAUGGGCGAGAGCCUGAACCAGCCAAGUAGCGUGCAGGAUGACGGCCCUAUGGGUUGUAAACUGCUUUUAUAAGGGAAUAAAGUGAGUCUCGUGAGACUUUUUGCAUGUACCUUAUGAAUAAGGACCGGCUAAUUCCGUG
rnacentral:rRNA from 1 species